rnacentral:antisense_RNA from 1 species
CUUCAACGACCCCAGCAGCAGCGGCUGUUCGCGAUCCUGGCCGUACGUCGCCAGCAGCGCCUGCGCCUC